rnacentral:lncRNA from 10 species
AUGGGCUCCAUCCAGCACGAACACAAAGCCCUGUGAGAGGAGGCAGAGUGAGAUGAAGUCGAACUGUGGGAUAUGAAAGGCAUUUUGAAGGAGUAGGCAUCAGAACCAGGCGAGGCGGCUCGGGAGAGAAGGCCAUUCCAGGCAGAGGGAACCAAAGGAGCAAGAGCCUAGGGGCAAAAAAGUGUUGGGUCUCUGCAGAGGCCAUGAAAAAUGUGCCAUUCAGCUUUUCUGCUAAUUGUUGAAGGCCCAGCUGCCACCGCUCUGGAUCUACACCCCAUUUGCAAUGAAGCCACACAUCUCGUGAGCCACUCCCAGCCCGUGACUGGGCACAGCAGGGGCCCUAACGCAGGAUAGCUCUGAGGAGGUGUGGGACCCUUGACAGUGGAGGACAUUGGCCCGAGAACUCUUCAUCGACCUGAUCAAACCUCUCUUGGAACUGCAAAGCAGUCUGAGACUCUUCUCCCAGUUUAUUAUCUCCCUAUUAACUAUCUAUAGUGUAGCUCAUUGGAAAAGAGUCAUUAAUUUUGAUUA